rfam:Rhodnius prolixus Rhodnius_prolixus-3.0.3-144.15, whole genome shotgun sequence.
UAAAAGGCCCUUUUCAGGGCCACCAAUUGAUUCACUUGUCAUCUG